GACGAACGCUGGCGGCGUGCUUAACACAUGCAAGUCGAACGGAAAGGCCCUGCUUUUGUCGGGCGCUCGAGUGGCGAACGGGUGAGUAACACGUGAGUAACCUGCCCUUGACUUUGGGAUAACUUCAGGAAACUUGGGCUAAUACCGGAUAUGAGCUCCUGCUGCAUGGUGGGUGUUGGCAAGCUUAGGUGGUUGGGGCUGGAUUCGCGGGUUAACAGCUUGUUGGUGGGGUAGUGGAUGACCAAGGCCUUGACGGGUAGUCGGCCUGAGAGGAGGACCGGCCACAAUAGGACUGAGAUACGGACCAGACUCCUACGGGAGGCAGCAGGGGGGAGUAUUACCCAGUAGGCGGAAGCCUAAUGCAGAGACGCCGCGUGCGGGAUCUGGGCCUUCGCGGUGUGAACCGCUUUCGCCUGUGACGAAGCGUGAGUGACGGUAAUGUGUAAAGAAGCACCGGCUAACUACGUG
rnacentral:rRNA from 1 species